rnacentral:lncRNA from 1 species
GGGGGUUGUGAAAACGGUUGUGAUUGCAGAUGAACAAAAUCAAAACACAGAUGCAGACAGAAACGCAAACACAGAUCUAAAACGGUUUCAAGACAGACUGAAGACGGUUGGUCAUUAACUUAAUUACAACGCUUCCUAUCACAGAUCAACAAAAUAAAGCCAACUCAAACCUUUAAUCAAACGCAAUUAAUCAACUAAGCGCAUGCUAAUUAUGUUUUCAUAAAAGCCAACUAAGUGAACGUAAUGGUAACAUUAAAUCUAAUUUACACCAUGCAGUUUCAUAAACUAAGAGGAGACUCAACACCACUUGGGCAACCAAGUGUAUACCCAAUUCAAGUGCAAAUACAGAUUUGAUAUUAACCAAGUCAGAGUGACAAUCACACACACAGUUCAGAAAUAUCAAAGAAGCAAUGCAAUAUCGCUAAUGACCAUCACAAUAAUUUAAGCUAUCAUGACAACUAAAUUAUCUCUACCAAAAAUACAAGACAACAUUAAGACAACAUUAAGACAAAAUAAAAUAAAAUUCUAGACUCCAUCACUAUUACAAACAUCUGUCUAGCAGAGUUAAAAUAAAUUAAAUGCAAAAUAAAAUAUAAAAAAAGAAAAGAAAAGAUCAAACACAACUCAAUAUACUAUGCAAAAUAUUUUAAAGCAAAAGAAAUGAGUGGAUAUAGUUUUUCUUCACCAAAUCAAGUGACCUCCCAAAGCUUCAAUGUGAAGAAAAUUAAUUCCUCUCUCCUCCCAAAGGUUAAUGUCAAUUUGCCUUGCAACCAAGGAGUAAAAAAAAUAUUUUUCUUCUUCUACAAAAUCACAUUGCCGAGACUUCCAAUUCCUUCUCCAAGAAUUGUGUUUCUCCAAUUAAAAAUCCCAAAAGAAUGGGUGCUCCAGUGUUGACAAAUUGGCAAGCGUACCAAAUCGUACAAGUAAUAUAAUUGGUAAAACCCAAUAUCAUUUUUCCCAAGAGACUCAAAUGGCUUUCUCGUUCACUUGAAUUAAAAUAAUAACACUUGAAAAUAGAAAUUAAUAAAUUGGAUUUGAGAACACAAAUAUUAACAUGCAAAAUAAAGUUGAUUCAAUUGACAAAAGAAAACAAUGGAUUAGUGGAUGUUGUUGGGGGUUUACAAUUUCAUCUAAUUCGCUCUCUCUUACCUACUCCUCUUGAAUAUUAGUUUGAUUAAUUAAUUGUUAUGCGACUUUCUUAGCCUCCCCUUAACCCGAUCCCUCGGCGAAAAGAGCUUAAUAUUAACUACUGGCUUGUUAUCCCUAGCUUCCCCUAGCAAUUAAUACCGCAUUAUAAACAUAAGUUAGCGCAAUUGAUCGUCCUACCCCUAUCCCUAGGUGGUAUUGCAAAAUCAAGAAAUUACUCACGAGUUCAUGUCAUUANUGUACGUCCCCAUAUCAAUAAAGACAAACAUCAGUUACCGAAUGAGUUAAACGAUAAAGGCCUUAAGCACA